UGGGGAAUAUUGGACAAUGGGCGCAAGCCUGAUCCAGCCAUGCCGCGUGAGUGAUGAAGGCCCUAGGGUUGUAAAGCUCUUUCACCGGUGAAGAUAAUGACGGUAACCGGAGAAGAAGCCCCGGCUAACUUCGUGCCAGCAGCCGCGGUAAUACGAAGGGGGCUAGCGUUGUUCGGAUUUACUGGGCGUAAAGCGCACGUAGGCGGACUUUUAAGUCAGGGGUGAAAUCCCGGGGCUCAACCCCGGAACUGCCUUUGAUACUGGAAGUCUUGAGUAUGGGAGAGGGGGGUGGAAUUCCGGGUGUAGAGGUGAAAUUCGUAGAUAUUCGGGGGAACACCAGGGGCGAAGGCGGCUCACUGGACCAUUACUGACGCUGAGGUGCGAAAGCGUGGGGAGCAAACAGG
rnacentral:rRNA from 1 species